UCAUCAAGACCCUAUAAAUGGUAUAAGUUCAGCACCGCUCAAGCAUCUUUGUUUUUUGUUGGGUCUUAAAGAUACCGGGCGACGCUAUCAGUCGACCUUAUCAGUCGAUCUCUCUCGCCGAGUGAAUUGGUGUCGUUCGUCUCUUCAGAAGAGAAGUUGGUUUGGUGGAACUUGUGGAAUCUGUGAUAUUGUAUUGAGUUGGAUGGGAGGCCGAAAUUCGAGGGACGGGAGUUUGCCGGAGUCUUCUUCAGCGCGAAAUGAACAACGGACUCUUGGUGGGAAGUAUUCGUGCAUUGCUGAUAACUACAAUUCCUUAGAGGAGGUGACUGAGGCUCUUGUACAUGCAGGCCUUGAAUCUUCCAAUCUCAUUGUUGGUAUAGACUUCACCAAAAGUAAUGAGUGGACAGGCGCAAGGUCAUGCGACGGGAGAAGCUUACAUCACAUUGGAAAUGGUCUAAAUCCAUACGAACAAGCCAUAUCUAUUCUCGGGAAAACCUUAGCUGCUUUCGAUGAGGAUAACUUGAUUCCUUGCUUUGGGUUUGGCGAUGCAUCGACGCAUGAUCAAGACGUAUUCAGUUUUCAUCCAGACGAGAGACCUUCUAAUGGAUUUGAAGAAGUGUUGCAUGAGUACAGGGAAAUAGUUCCUCAUCUAACUUUAGCAGGGCCAACAUCAUUUGCCCCAGUUAUUGACAUGGCCAUGACAAUUGUUGAGCGGACUGGCGGCCAGUACCAUAUUUUACUAAUAAUUGCAGAUGGACAGGUAACUAGAAGCGGUUCUAGUCGACAUGGUCAUUUGAGUCCGCAGGAACAUAAAACUGUUGAAGCUAUUGUAAAAGCAAGCAAGAUGCCCCUGUCCAUUAUAGUAGUUGGGGUUGGAGAUGGACCCUGGGACAUGAUGAAGGAAUUUGACGAUAAUAUUCCCGCCCGAGCCUUUGAUAAUUUCCAAUUUGUCAAUUUCACAGACAUUAUGUCAAAAAAUGUGGCUCAGUCCCGAAAAGAGACAGAAUUCGCUCUUGCAGCUUUGAUGGAAAUCCCUUCUCAAUAUAAAGCAACAAUAGAGCUCAAUAUAUUGGGUGGCCGGAAGGGGAAUGUUUAUGAGAGGGUUCCUCUCCCACCCCCUGUGAAUGAUGCUGCGUCUUUUACCAGCGCAAAAUCUUCAAGCUCAACUAGUUUCCAGAAGAGCUCGGCUUAGUUCUAUGACCACAGCAGCCCUGUUGGUAAAGCUCCAGCUGCAUCAAGUUCCACUUUUGAUAACUAACUUUGUCCCAUUUGCACCAGUAAUUCGAAGGCCAUGGCCUGCGGUUGUGAGCGUAAGCAAGUAAAUUGAUAUCUUCGACUCUUUCGACAAAUAGUGACGAUGCAAGAGUUCUUCUCUUCUCUUGGACAGACAUGUUUCGAUUGCGGACAAGUCCUUCAAUUUUGCCCAAUUUGCUGUACUCCAAUCCAAACAAAAAUAAAGCUCUACCAAGCAUAGCCUUGCCUUUGGGAUUUUUGUUGGCUAAUUGCCUGAAAAUUAUAUCAAGGUGGUUGGAUUUAUGAGAUCUGUUUGUAUGGUGCCUUUCUUGGAUAUGAAUUCUUGGACCUACAAAAUGAAUAAAAUACAUGAGUAAUGACCUCCAAUAAUUUC